UUUCCGUAGGUGAACCUGCGGAAGGAUCAUUAAUGAGUUGUCAUGGGGUUCGAUGCUGGCAGCCAGUUUUUGGAUGCAUGUGCUUGCCCUAACAAUCAUCUUCUUCCAAACACCUGUGCACAUUUUUGAGGGAGUCUUGAGUUGGUUGCCGCUCUUGGGUGAUUUUCUCACAUUCCCUUAAAUCAUUAUACGCUAUUAACAAUGUUGAACGUGCUCUGUGCCGCAAGGCCAUUAAUAUAAUACAACUUUUAACAACGGAUCUCUUGGCUCUCGCAUCAAUGAAGAACGCAGC
rnacentral:misc_RNA from 1 species